rnacentral:misc_RNA from 1 species
AAAAUGCGAAAAGUAUUGUGACAUGCAAUCUUCGUGAAUCAUCCAAUUUUUGAACGCACCUUGCACCUACAGGCCUCUGUCUGUAGGUAUACUUGUUUGAGCAUCGACCCCAACUCGUCCCGCCGCAACGCACGCGUCAGCGCGCCGAGCGGAGGAGGACGGAGCUGACACUCUAGCCCGGCAGCGGGCCAGCGGGUUGAAAUGCAGCAGCGCACGCGCACCCGCCCGUGGGAUAAAGCGGGCCUGAUUGCAGCGCGCAAGCGAGCGAGCAGGCCAACACACACGAGCGAGAGAGCGACGGAGCGAACGAUCGAGUGCGAGCUAGUGAAUUCAUUCAUGAAACCUACCUCGCCCUCUCGAUCCACCGACACCGAUCUCAAAUCAAGUAGGAAUACCCGCU